rnacentral:rRNA from 1 species
AUGCAAGUUUUGUCUGCUCCAAACAGGGACUCUAGGAAGCCUGCUAAAGACAAACAAAAGGAUAAUGAAGUUACUGACUUUUGCGGAUCUUGUAAUGCUCCGUAUCAUGCCAAUGCCUUUUGGAUUGGUUGUGACGGAUGUGACCAGUGGUUCCAUGGAAAAUGUGUGAACAUAACUGCCUCUGAAGCAGAACAUAUCGAAGAAUACCAGUGUCCUGACUGCAUCCGCGAGGUGAUCGGAGAGUAG